GACGAACGCUGGCGGCGUGCUUAACACAUGCAAGUCGAACGAAGUGGCGAACGGGUGAGUAACGCGUAAUCAACCUGCCCUUCAGAGGGGGACACCAGUUGGAAACGACUGCUAAUACCCCUUACUGAUGUACGGGAUUGCGGCGGAUUAGCUAGUUGGCUGGGUAACGGCCCACCAAGGCGAUGAGCAGUAGCCGGGCUGGUAGGAUGAACGGCCACAUUGGGACUGAGACACGGCCCAGACUCCUACGGGAGGCAGCAGUGGGGAAUCUUCCGCAAUGGACGAAAGUCUGACGGAGCAACGCCGCGGGAGUGAUGACGGCCUUCGGGUUGUAAAGCUCUGUUAAGCGGGACGCGGUACCGGAAUAGAAAGCCACGGCUAACUACGUGCCAGCAGCCGCGGUAAUUC
rnacentral:rRNA from 1 species